UACGUAGGGGGCAAGCGUUGUCCGGAAUCAUUGGGCGUAAAGCGCGCGUAGGCGGCCCGGUAAGUCCGUUGUGAAAGUCAAAGGCUCAACCUUUGAACGCCGAUGGAUACUGCCGGGCUAGAGUCCGGAAGAGGCGAGUGGAAUUCCUGGUGUAGCGGUGGAAUGCGCAGAUAUCAGGAGGAACACCAAUAGCGAAGGCAGCUCGCUGGGACGGUACUGACGCUGAGGCGCGAAAGCUAGGGGAGCAAACGGG
rnacentral:rRNA from 1 species